UACGAGGGGGGCAAGCGUUGUUCGGAAUUACUGGGCGUAAAGGGCUCGUAGGCGGCCAACUAAGUCAGACGUGAAAUCCCUCGGCUUAACCGGGGAACUGCGUCUGAUACUGGAUGGCUUGAAUCCGGGAGAGGGAUGCGGAAUUCCAGGUGUAGCGGUGAAAUGCGUAGAUAUCUGGAGGAACACCGGUGGCGAAGGCGGCAUCCUGGACCAACACUGACGCUGAGGAGCGAAAGCCAGGGGAGCAAACGGG
rnacentral:rRNA from 1 species